rnacentral:rRNA from 1 species
AACCGGAUUAGAUACCCUGGUAGUCCACGCUGUAAACGAUGUCGAUUUGGAGGUUGUGCCCUUGAGGCGUGGCUUCCGGAGCUAACGCGUUAAAUCGACCGCCUGGGGAGUACGGCCGCAAGGUUAAAACUCAAAUGAAUUGACGGGGGCCCGCACAAGCGGUGGAGCAUGUGGUUUAAUUCGAUGCAACGCGAAGAACCUUACCUACUCUUGACAUCCAGAGAACUUUCCAGAGAUGGAUUGGUGCCUUCGGGAACUCUGAGACAGGUGCUGCAUGGCUGUCGUCAGCUCGUGUUGUGAAAUGUUGGGUUAAGUCCCGCAACGAGCGCAACCCUUAUCCUUUGUUGCCAGCGGUUCGGCCGGGAACUCAAAGGAGACUGCCAGUGAUAAACUGGAGGAAGGUGGGGAUGACGUCAAGUCAUCAUGGCCCUUACGAGUAGGGCUACACACGUGCUACAAUGGCGUAUACAAAGAGAAGCGACCUCGCGAGAGCAAGCGGACCUCAUAAAGUACGUCGUAGUCCGGAUUGGAGUCUGCAACUCGACUCCAUGAAGUCGGAAUCGCUAGUAAUCGUAGAUCAGAAUGCUACGGUGAAUACGUUCCCGGGCCUUGUACACACCGCCCGUCACACCAUGGGAGUGGGUUGCAAAAGAAGUAGUAGCUUAACCUUCGGGAGGGCGCUUACCACUUUGUGAUUCAUGACUGGGGUGAAGUCGUAACAAGGUA